rnacentral:rRNA from 1 species
GAUAACGCUGGCGGCGUGCCUAAUACAUGCAAGUCGAGCGAACAGAUGAGGAGCUUGCUCCUCUGACGUUAGCGGCGGACGGGUGAGUAACACGUGGAUAACCUACCUAUAAGACUGGGAUAACUUCGGGAAACCGGAGCUAAUACCGGAUAAUAUAUUGAACCGCAUGGUUCAAUAGUGAAAGACGGUUUUGCUGUCACUUAUAGAUGGAUCCGCGCCGCAUUAGCUAGUUGGUAAGGUAACGGCUUACCAAGGCAACGAUGCGUAGCCGACCUGAGAGGGUGAUCGGCCACACUGGAACUGAGACACGGUCCAGACUCCUACGGGAGGCAGCAGUAGGGAAUCUUCCGCAAUGGGCGAAAGCCUGACGGAGCAACGCCGCGUGAGUGAUGAAGGUCUUCGGAUCGUAAAACUCUGUUAUUAGGGAAGAACAAAUGUGUAAGUAACUAUGCACGUCUUGACGGUACCUAAUCAGAAAGCCACGGCUAACUACGUG